CAACUGUAAUUUUUUAUUUUUUAAAAGAAGGAGAAGAAGUUAAAUUGCUGGAUUUGAACAGAGAAUUGAAACAAACGCAAACCCAACUAUACAAUAAAUUAGAGAAGAAAGAGAGAAUUCAAUUCCUUCUCUCUCUCUAUCUUAACUCUGCCUUCCAGUCUCCUUCCAAAAAAACGCACCUCUCUUUCUCUCUCUCUCCUAACACAUCAGAGAAGAAAGCUGAGCUCCACGCAAUCAAACCUUAAGAAACGAAACCCAUCUUGCAUUUUCUAUUUUAGUAGUUUUAUUGGUCUAAUGGGGUUCUAUUUAUGAUCCAAUCAAAACCAUAGAAAAGAGAGAAUCCCUUGAAAUUCAACUACCAUGGAAGAAUCAAGUGAAGUGCAUUCUGAAGAGAAUAGAGCUUCUCCAGAGAAGAAUUUAAAGAGGACAGUCAAGACGCCAGCCCAGGUUAUUGCUUUGGAGAGCUUUUAUAAUGAGCACAAAUAUCCUACGGAGGAAAUGAAAUCAGAACUUGCAGACCGAAUUGGGUUGACAGAAAAGCAAAUAUCUAGCUGGUUUUGCCACAGAAGGUUAAAAGACAAAAGAUUGAAGGAUGAAGGAUACACUAACGGACGACAAGAUCGGUCUAGCAGUAUUCUUCAUGAUCGUGGUAGUGGAUUGAGGCAAGAUUCAUGUGGCAGUACUAAACAAGGUGAUUAUAGGAAUAUCGAUCCAAGGGAAGUUGAAAGCCGGAGACUUUAUGGUCAAGAUUUUCAUACUGCUGAUCUAACCUAUGACCGUACAAGUCGCUAUACGGGGAAUGUUAGCAGCAUUGAUGAUAUAUCUUCAGGAAGUAGCUCAUCGUUACAAGAUAAGUUUGUUUCUCAAAGAGAGGAUCCUUAUGAUACAGAAACCUCAAAGUACCUAGCACAGAAUGGAGCUUCCAUGCCAUUAAUUCCCAAGGGUGCUGAGAGUUUUGGGUAUAAACCAUCAGGAUUUUUGAAAGUGAAGGGUGAAAUUGAGAAUGCUGCUAUUACUGCUGUCAAGAUGCAAUUGGGCAGGCAUUAUAAGGAGGAUGGUCCACCUCUUGGUGUUGACUUCCAGUCACUCCCUCCUAGUGCAUUUGCAUCCCCAAGUAGAGAUCCAGUCAAUGGACCAAUCUAUGUAGGCGAUCUUGUUCGGAUGCGUUCUCCUGAUGUUUCUGGAGUUCGAAAGCAACCCAGUCUCGGUGGUGGAUAUGAAGUAUAUAGCACCAAGAUGAGUUCUCAUGAUUCAUAUACAGAGGGAGCAAAUUGUAAUCCCGAGCAUGGAUCUGAUUCUCAUGAGAGAAAAUCCCGUCACCAUCUAGAACAGAAGUCUACCUAUAAUGGUUCCAAUUCUAAUGCAGGCGGGAACUCUACCAUGGAUAUGCCUGAUGAUCUUGCUGGUGAAACGUCAGUCUAUAGAAGCAAAAGAAAUUAUAGGACAAGCUCUAAGCAUGAUUUUGAAGGGAGAAGAUCAAAUUCUUUUGCAACCCAUCAUGGUCCUCGUGGCAGGAGAGAAAAGACACAAGGUUGGUUGCAUGAUUGUGAUAAUGACACUCCUAAGAUAGCUCGGAGGAAUGACUACAUGUCUAAGCGUUCACACUCGAUUCUUGGACCUGGAAAAUCUCUUGUUACAGAGGAGAGAGCACCAUUUACAAAGACGGGAAAGGAGGAAAAGCUUUAUGGAGAAAUGAAGAGAAUGAAAGGCUCGCAUGAUUCAGUUAGAGUAAAGAGGCAUCCGAGAGAUGAAACAGCUGUUGCAAAAAGAUUCAGGGCUGAAUUUCCACAGCAAGAACAUGUGACAAAAGCAUCAGUUUCUGGUGUGCGCCAGAGAACAAAUCUGACUGAAGGGUGAACUGACAUUAGUACCUCCCUCUGUCAUGAUGGCUAAUACGAAUAGGAAACUUGCUACUGCUAUCUAGAACUAUUUCAGGAUCCAUAACCCCAUAAAGCCUUCCUUUUGAAGAGCUGGGUGAAAAGAGAGGAGGGAUAAUUGUCAAGCAGAUUUCUCUUUAAUCAUACAUCAUUGAGGUCUGUCAUAGAGAGGCCAUCUAGUUUCAGCGAGGAUGAAACUGCAGAAACCAGUUCUUCAGCAGAAUGAGGAUCUGACAAUUGAUGCAUUUGGAUGGCAUAUGGGUUUGUGAGAUCACCUGUCAGAAAGAUAGCGAUACCCAUUUACCUGAUGAAGAUGGUACGAAGUUGUACAGUUGAGAUAAUGUAUUUCAUCUGUUGGUGAUGUUCCCAUUCCAUGAGGAAUGAAAUUUUAGUUCGUUAUGGCAACCGAUUGGUUUAGCCAGUGAUGUCAUCAAGCAUAUACUUCGUAGUGUGUACAAAUUUUGUCCUGAAUAUUAAAAUUCUUUCCGGAGAUAUUCUGAUUUCUGAUUGUAAAUCUGAUUAGGCAAGACCCCUUCGAUGUUGAUGACCGCGUGCCCCUGCACCGCGUGCCCGUAGUGCUUUUUCGUGAAGGCAAAUGAUAGCAAGACUACUCUAUAAAGCUGUUUUCAGGGGAUGAUUUAAGUAUUUUCUAGUUUCUAUAACUAAUGCAUGACAUGACCCUUUCUUUUUCUCCCUUGUGAAAUAUGAAAGCUCAGAUUAAUAUUUUAUUUUCUCCUUGGUUUGCAA